UAUGUGUGAUGGUGGUAGCUGU
rnacentral:siRNA from 1 species